rnacentral:rRNA from 1 species
CCUACGGGUGGCUGCAGUGGGGAAUAUUGGACAAUGGGCGAAAGCCUGAUCCAGCCAUGCCGCGUGUGUGAAGAAGGCCUUCGGGUUGUAAAGCACUUUCAGUGGGGAAGAAAGCCUUGGGGCUAAUACCCUCGAGGAAGGACAUCACCCACAGAAGAAGCACCGGCUAACUCCGUGCCAGCAGCCGCGGUAAUACGGAGGGUGCGAGCGUUAAUCGGAAUUACUGGGCGUAAAGCGCGCGUAGGCGGUCUGAUAAGCCGGUUGUGAAAGCCCCGGGCUCAACCUGGGAACGGCAUCCGGAACUGUCAGGCUAGAGUGUAGGAGAGGAAGGUAGAAUUCCCGGUGUAGCGGUGAAAUGCGUAGAGAUCGGGAGGAAUACCAGUGGCGAAGGCGGCCUUCUGGACUGACACUGACGCUGAGGUGCGAAAGCGUGGGUAGCAAACAGGAUUAGAUACCCCAGUAGUC